CCUACGGGAGGCAGCAGUGAGGAAUAUUGGUCAAUGGACGCAAGUCUGAACCAGCCAAGUAGCGUGCAGGAUGACGGCCCUCCGGGUUGUAAACUGCUUUUAGUUGGGAAUAAAAGGGGGCUUGUGAGCCCCGAAUGGUAUGUACCAUCCGCAAAAUGACCGGCUAAUUCCGUGCCAGCAGCCACGGUAAUACGGAGGGUCCGGGCGUUAUCCGGAUUGAUUGGGUUUAAAGGGAGCGUAGGCAGGCUUUUAAGUCAGCAGUGAAAGGCCGCGGCUCAACCGUGGAAUUGCAGUUGAAACUGGAGGCCUUGAGUGCAGACAGGGAUGCGAGAAUUCAUGGUGUAGCGGUGAAAUGCGUAGAUAGCAUGAAGAACGCCGAUCGCGAAGGCGAGUGUCCGGGG
rnacentral:rRNA from 1 species